UGAAGAGUUUGAUCAUGGCUCAGAUUGAACGCUGGCGGCAGGCCUAACACAUGCAAGUCGAACGGUAACAGGAAGCAGCUUGCUGCUUUGCUGACGAGUGGCGGACGGGUGAGUAAUGUCUGGGAAACUGCCUGAUGGAGGGGGAUAACUACUGGAAACGGUGGCUAAUACCGCAUAACGUCGCAAGACCAAAGAGGGGGACCUUCGGGCCUCUUGCCAUCAGAUGUGCCCAGAUGGGAUUAGCUUGUUGGUGAGGUAACGGCUCACCAAGGCGACGAUCCCUAGCUGGUCUGAGAGGAUGACCAGCCACACUGGAACUGAGACACGGUCCAGACUCCUACGGGAGGCAGCAGUGGGGAAUAUUGCACAAUGGGCGCAAGCCUGAUGCAGCCAUGCCGCGUGUAUGAAGAAGGCCUUCGGGUUGUAAAGUACUUUCAGCGGGGAGGAAGGUGUUGUGGUUAAUAACCGCAGCAAUUGACGUUACCCGCAGAAGAAGCACCGGCUAACUCCGUGCCAGCAGCCGCGGUAAUACGGAGGGUGCAAGCGUUAAUCGGAAUUACUGGGCGUAAAGCGCACGCAGGCGGUCUGUCAAGUCGGAUGUGAAAUCCCCGGGCUCAACCUGGGAACUGCAUUCGAAACUGGCAGGCUUGAGUCUUGUAGAGGGGGGUAGAAUUCCAGGUGUAGCGGUGAAAUGCGUAGAGAUCUGGAGGAAUACCGGUGGCGAAGGCGGCCCCCUGGACAAAGACUGACGCUCAGGUGCGAAAGCGUGGGGAGCAAACAGGAUUAGAUACCCUGGUAGUCCACGCCGUAAACGAUGUCUACUUGGAGGUUGUGCCCUUGAGGCGUGGCUUCCGGAGCUAACGCGUUAAGUAGACCGCCUGGGGAGUACGGCCGCAAGGUUAAAACUCAAAUGAAUUGACGGGGGCCCGCACAAGCGGUGGAGCAUGUGGUUUAAUUCGAUGCAACGCGAAGAACCUUACCUGGUCUUGACAUCCACGGAAGUUUUCAGAGAUGAGAAUGUGCCUUCGGGAACCGUGAGACAGGUGCUGCAUGGCUGUCGUCAGCUCGUGUUGUGAAAUGUUGGGUUAAGUCCCGCAACGAGCGCAACCCUUAUCCUUUGUUGCCAGCGGUCCGGCCGGGAACUCAAAGGAGACUGCCAGUGAUAAACUGGAGGAAGGUGGGGAUGACGUCAAGUCAUCAUGGCCCUUACGACCAGGGCUACACACGUGCUACAAUGGCGCAUACAAAGAGAAGCGACCUCGCGAGAGCAAGCGGACCUCAUAAAGUGCGUCGUAGUCCGGAUUGGAGUCUGCAACUCGACUCCAUGAAGUCGGAAUCGCUAGUAAUCGUGGAUCAGAAUGCCACGGUGAAUACGUUCCCGGGCCUUGUACACACCGCCCGUCACACCAUGGGAGUGGGUUGCAAAAGAAGUAGGUAGCUUAACCUUCGGGAGGGCGCUUACCACUUUGUGAUUCAUGACUGGGGUGAAGUCGUAACAAGGUAACCGUAG
rnacentral:rRNA from 1 species